CCUUAGCACAUAAUCAGCCAUCAGGAGGAAAGGGAUGGAUGGAUGGAUGAGGUCAGGCCAGGGGUAUGCUGUGAAACUCUGGCCACAGGGCUUAGAGUACGGGAGGACAGCACAGGAGCCAGUUUCUACCACAGAUAUACACUAGGAUAGUGACACUUACUUCCCCUGAAGCAAUUUUCCUCGCUCUUGGAAGGGGUGAUUUUCUGUGUAUAUGAAUUGGAUCCGACACCAUUGGCUUGAACACCAUUACAGAUCGGUCAGGUUCAUCUCUUUUAGAAGUAUGUGAUUCCUCAUCACUAUCGUUUCUAUGGGAAGUUUUCUUUGAGCCAUCAUUCUACAAGAAAACAGGAAUGGUACCUUUGAGAGAAUAAAGAAUGUUGAGAAAUGGCAGCAAAUGUUUUGGCCGUGAAGCAGGACUUCUUCAACAUCUCCAUGGUCUCGUGUGCUUGGGAGGAGAAGAGGUCACCAUCAUCAAAAGGGAGAGGUCGACAAGCAAAGGUGGGCCCAAAGCGUACCAGAAAGGGAGAGGAAGGUGCUGUGUCUAAACGGCCAAGGCAUGUCAUGUCUCUGUAGGACAAAAUCAAUACCCUGGCCUGCCUGAGGGAGGGCCAAAGCAACUGUGCAGUUAGAAGAUUGUUCAGGGUCAAUGAAUUGACUAUACACACCAUUAAGAAGAAUGAUGCUGUCCUCAGGGGCAAUGUUACCAGUGAGACCCAAUCGUCCCUAAAAGUCUCCUACAUGCCACAAGAAGAUGGAGAAGGCCCAUAACAUUUGGAUGGAGGACCAGACACAGAAAAAUGUUCCUCGCAGCACCCAUGUAAUCUGCGCCAAGGCAAGGAAAAUCUACAGGCAUUUGGUGGAGAGCUCUGGAGAGGGAGACCCUGAGAAGUUUCAAGUCAGUAAGGGCUGGUUUGAGAACUUUAAGAAACAAUUCAACCUGAACAAUAUGAAGCUUGUCAGGGCUGCAGCCACUUUUCCUGCUGAGCUGAAGAGAUUAAUCCAGUAGAAGGGCUAUGUGCCUGACCAGGUGUUCAAUGCAGACAAGACUGGACUCUUCUGUCCACACCUUCAUUGCCAAGAAGGAGAGAAAGACUCCAGGAUUCAAGGCUGCAAAGGACAGACUGACCCUUCUGUUCUGCUCCAAUGCCUCAGGUGGCAAGAUGGUGAAGCCCAUGCUCGUCUACAGGUCCCUGAAUCCACAGGCACUGAAGGGGAAGAACAAGAACCACCUCCCUGUGUUCUGGAGAGCGAACACGAAGGCCUGGGUAAAGCAUGCCAUCUUCAUGUCCUGGUGCAACUACUGCUUUGCACAUGAGAUGAAGUGCUACCUGAGGGAGAAGACCUGGCUUUCAAGGUGCUGCUGCUGUUGGACAAUGCCUCAGGGCAUCCUCCAGACCUGCUGUUUGCCCACCCCAAUAUGGAAGUUGCUUCCCUGCCUCCAAACAUUAUAUCACUCAUUCUGCCUCUGGACCAGGGCAUCAGCCAAGCCUUCAAGAUCUAUUAUAUCAGGCACAACUUUGAGCACAUUGCUAUUCUGAUGGCAACCUAACCUUGAAGGAAGCAUGGAAAGGUUACAGCAUCACCCAUGCUUUGACCAUCAUCCAAGAGACAAUGGAUGAGAUAUGGACCAGCUGCCUGAAUCCGUGUUGAAGGAAGCUGUGGAAGGAGGCCAUAAAAGAUUCCAGUUCUGUGCCUGCUGUGGGGGAAGAGGUUGGGAGGAUUGUGACUUCUGCCAGAUGACUUGGCGAUGAGGAAUUUGAAGACAUCCAACCAAAUGAAGUUGCUGAGUUCCUGGCGUCACACUCUGAAGAGCUCACAGAACAAGACCUGGAAGCCCUGAUCAAAUCAUCCAGUGAUCAGGAAUAAGCUGAAGAAGAAGAGGAAGACUGCAGGGCUGCAGCGAAGUUGACCCUGGAAAAACUAAAAAGGUUUCCUAAGUCAUGCCUCAGAGCUGGCAGACGAGGCAGGGGAUAUGGACCCCUUCGUGCAGUGCAUGCUGACAUUCAGACGAGGACUAAAUAAACUCAUUCACCCCUACACAGAAGUCCAAAAAGACCGGAGAAAGAUGGAACAACCAGCCAUCCUGAACUUCUUCAAGAGAAUGCAGAGAGAGCAGCCUGGCACUUCAGGGAGUUUCUCUCAACUGCCUGCAACUGUGGACACAUCUUCAGCAUCGGGAGGAAGAGAGUACUGGUGCACCCUCUUCCUCAUAAAAAUCCCCAAUGAACCCACCCACCCCCACCUACAGUUCCCUUCUCCCUGAUCUCACCUCACCUCACCCCACCCCAUCCUUCCUAUCCCUCCUCUUCAUCAUCAUAACCAUCUGCAAGGCUAGGAGAUAGAAAAAACUGUUCAUUAAGAUUUCUUGUGUUCUGUUGAUUUUUGGUGAAUUUAAGUACAUUUAUGUGAUUUUGGAGGAUUCAAAACUUUUCCAGAAGUUCAAUCUGCUUGUUCCUCUUGCUGAUUCUUAGGGACUCCUGGUGAUUUUUAGGGAUUUCUGGUGAUGUUAAGCUAUUUUUAACCUUUUCCCCCUUGGAUUUGAGGUGUUGUCAGGACCGCAGUUCCCCAUGCCCCCUCAUUCACAUCGAUUCCUAUGGUUUGCCAACUGCAAAAUUGACAACUGCGGGGUUUUGCAAGAACUGAACCCUCGUGGUUGGUGAGGGAUGACCGUAUAAAGAAAAUCUAUGGUCUGAGUGUCUCUAGGCUUACUCUAUCUAAAUGUUUUCCCAUGUAGGUUUGUUAUUCAUAUCAACCAUGACUGCUUCCAAUUAAGGAUGCAAUCCACUUGUAUGGCAAAAUUAAUCAUUCAAAUAAGCUCUAAUACAGGAGUGCACAAACAAGAUGCUGUGAGGACCAAGUCAGCUGAAAUCAAUCAAGGACAAGUUUUCUCAGAGGAACAAACAGAGCAAAGAACCUUGCAGCAACUGUGCAGCAAGCACAGUGGACAAGAAGGAACUGAAGUAAAGUGUGCUGCCCCGCCUAUUUUAGCAGGCGCUCCCUCAUGCCUCAGAAUGCUGGAGAGCAUAUAUUGGAGCUAUGUAUUCCUCUGCAGAGCUUACUGCGCAGACUUCUUAGACCCAGUUGUGAGGGAACAUGGAUCAUCUCAGAGAUCAGCCAUUUUCAAAAAUCUUCCCUUAUUUUAUUUAUUUAAAAUAUGUAUACUCCUCCCCUCCAGUGCACUACUGCUCCGGGCGGCUCACAACAAUAAAAUAGAUACAAGUUUCUUCCCUUCCCUCCAAAGGGAAUGUGUACAAAUGUGUCUCUGAGGACUGCGUGAGCCCUGUGGCAUGCUUAAAGUUCCUCUGUGAAUCCUGGCCCAAAAGUGUCCUCUUUUUGAUCCUAGCCAUAGUAGCUACCACUAACAGGCCAUGCAACCUAUAGAGGCAUAUUUUUAUGACCCACAGCGGGCUUCAGAGGAAAGGGGAGAUAACUGGAAAUUGCUUCUUCCCUCACUUGAGCAGUGGUGAAACCGUAGUCUGGAAAUCAACACAUGCAUCAGCACUGUACUAGUCUGGAUGUCAGCUAUUAUUGAUACUGCCUAAACAACAUUGAUUGAAAUAAAUAUGUCUUAAAGCAUAAGAGGCCAUGCCAAAUCAUUAAUGUGAAGUAAGUACUAAUAGCAUUAACAACAAUCUACUUAAAAUAUUUGUCUACCUGCAAACU